AGUGAACGCUGGCGGUAGGCCUAACACAUGCAAGUCGAACGGCAGCACAGUAAGAGCUUGCUCUUACGGGUGGCGAGUGGCGGACGGGUGAGGAAUACAUCGGAAUCUACUUUUUCGUGGGGGAUAACGUAGGGAAACUUACGCUAAUACCGCAUACGACCUACGGGUGAAAGCAGGGGAUCUUCGGACCUUGCGCGAUUGAAUGAACCGAUGUCGGAUUAGCUAGUUGGCGGGGUAAAGGCCCACCAAGGCGACGAUCCGUAGCUGGUCUGAGAGGAUGAUCAGCCACACUGGAACUGAGACACGGUCCAGACUCCUACGGGAGGCAGCAGUGGGGAAUAUUGGACAAUGGGCGCAAGCCUGAUCCAGCCAUACCGUGUGGGUGAAGAAGGCCUUCGGGUUGUAAAGCCCUUUUGUUGGGAAAGAAAAGCAGCAGGUUAAUACCCCGCUGUUCUGACGGUACCCAAAGAAUAAGCACCGGCUAACUUCGUG
rnacentral:rRNA from 1 species